AUUUCAACAAGGGGAAGUGCAGGAUUCUGCACCUGGGAUGGGGCAACCCUGGAUGUACAGCCAGCCUGGGGAAUGAGAGGCUGGAGAGGAGUGCUGCAGAAAGGGACCUGGGGGUCCUGGUCAAUGGCAAGUUGAAGGAAGUGCCUUGAGGUUCCCUUGGGAUUCUGAAAAACUGGAAACAGAUCAGUUGUUGGGCCUGUAUUUGGGAAGGGGAUCAGAGCACCUGAGCCCAGGAAAUGUGUGAUGGUGAGGACUGAUGGAAGAGGUGAUGCUGUAGGCUCCUAAGAAAAGCCUGGUACCGCUGGUGGUGUGAAAUCCAGCUCAGCGGUUUGGGGAGCACACAUCGGUGCAGUUUGGACAGAUCUGAGGACCAAAGAAAAAGUUUUAGUCUGGCACCUGACUGCAGUUCUUCUUAGCAUGGACCAAGAUGCUUUGCAGAUUUUGAUAAUCAUCUAAAAGCACACCAGCGUCUCUACUUUUUGGAUACAGUAGAAGUUGUUCCUAGGUAACAGUGGCACAACUCUGACCACUUUCUGAUGUAACUGGAGAACAAACACUUUUCGCAGUCAUCCAGUGACAUGGCUACUUAAAGUCAGUCUUGUGGUACCAACUGGAGAAAUAAAAGUAAUUCCUUGUUUCCCUCUUCCAGGUUAGGGGACCUGCAUACCUGCAUUAGGCUUUUUGGGAAAGUUCUUGUAUAUCAUCAUUUUAGGCCCCUUGCCACAGUUCCGUAUAGACUUAAUAAUGAACCCACAAAAAUCUUUCUGAAAUAAAAAUAGCCUUUGGAAUCCAUUUUGGUAAUGACAAAUUGUCUAUAGUGAAGUAGUUUUUUCUCUGCCGUGGAGUGUCUCUUGGGUAGGUACAGAACAAAAUAAUCCCUCAUAAAGAAUAUUCCAUGAACUCUUCUGACACUUUGCUGUGGAGGCUCUGCUGAGUAUGGUGACCACUCCUUUGGCAUCCACUCUUGAACAGACCAGUGGACAAGGAUGAAUUCCUGCUUCAAUACAUAUUUACCUUUGCAAAACUUAAUUUUAAUUUAGAACCUUGUUUGAACCGAACUUCAAGUCGUAGUUUUAGCACCCUUUGAAAUACUGUCCUGUGGGACACCAGACUGUUCUUAGAAAUCAAUAUUUUAACUAAGGUGGUGUAUAAACAGAUGCUCCUCAUUUUGGAGGCAUUUGGUGACAUCUUCCACUUCUCAUCUGUCACAUUAGAGCAUAAACUGGCCUUGACUUAAGCACAUGGCUCUUCUUGAACUUCUAUGACUAUAGGAGGAUGCUUACUUUCGUGGGCUGUUUCACAGCCUUGUUCUCCUUGAAACCUGAGAUCCUCACACAUUUCAGAGAUUUUUAUCUAGUUCAUGUAGGGAUUUCAACUACUGUUUGAGCAUUCCUACCCAGUAUUUGCUUUGUGGGGUGUUUGUAGUGAAAAGAUGCUUAGCCAGAGAUCUUCAGUGUCAUCCCCUGCUUGGGCAGGAGGAAGAGCUUGCACCUGGACAGCUUGCACCUGGGGCUGGUGCGGAAAUGGAUGAGAAGGAAGAAUGCUGUCUCGAUAUAUUUUAGCCCUUAUAAACCCAUGGCCUGAAACCUGGAACUCAGUUGUGAUAUGGGGUUAGCUGCACAAUGGGAAGGAGUCCCUGCCUGCCUGCUCUGUCAUCCUCCCCCUCCUUACCUAGCCUAGGUUAGCCAAAAUACUCUGCUAUGCUGUUUCUGGGGUUUCCUUUCUUUCUUUCAAAGAAUGUACAGAGGCACAGGGCUCCUCACUACUUUCUGGCAGUGUUGCUCUUUAUAUUUCUGAAACAUAGUUUCAAAGACUGGUGGGGGGAAUGGAGGGAAUUAAAACACAAAUCUUUCUUUUCUUUAAUUGCUGUUUAUUGCAACUGCAGAGUUUUGCUUCUCCCUACAAGCGCGGCAGGUGGUGCUCUUGGUCCUUCCAAACACAAGCAGCACUUCCUAAACUCCAGUCAAGUCAGAAUUGUGCCAUCCUGCACCAGCUGGCUGGUUUUAGCCCUGUCACAUAAGGGCAGGAUCUUUCAGCUUUGGGUGAAGUGUUUUCUACCAGCGAAGGGGAAAGAAGAGAAGAAAAGGUACUUUAAGUAAGGACUGGAUGUUGGCAGUAGAUGAAGAAAAGAUCAAUACAAACAAAAGUAACUAGUUGGCAAGUCCAUCCUUAAUUACCACACUAUAGCCCAAUCCAGCAUUCUGUCCCAAAUUUAGAUGUGUAACCCAUAAGAAAAACAUUGUAGCUAUUAAAUUGAAUGAUUCUGUUGAGGUCCUUUCCGUUGUGCUGUUGUGCUUUAAGUAGCAUCCUGCUCUCACCUACACAUUGUAAUUUUGCUACUGCAGGCACCCCAAAACUUGUAACAGCAACUCUUCCAGUGUCAAGGUGUUCCAGGAUUUUAGAGUAGCCACUUGCUUGUUUCUCAGCUGGCAGCCAUACUCUGAAGAUCAUGCAUUUGCUGUGACCCCUUACAUCUUACAAAAUCUGGAUCAGAAAGGCCAUCACCAGUAGAGAGGUAAAUUCUCUUCCAGCUGUUAACAAAGAGAUGGUAAUUAAAAUUGGCAAGUGUCAUUAUACUUGCUUUUUAUUUCUUUUAAUAACAUUUCAAGUGGAAAACGUGCCUCUCAAGAUUUCGAAAUUCUUAGCUGAAAAUGUUUAGGAAAGUAACUAAAAAUAGGCAAUUCUGAGCAGAACUUCAAAGGUUGGGGAGAAAAAUUAAGAAUACAUGCCAGGUAUGUAGUCACUCCAUCCUUACCCAAGCUUUUUUGCAGCAGUCUUCCUGGAAAGGCAUCAUUGCCAGUUCUUUCAAAUUUUUCUUGUAAAUAUAUGUUCCUGAGGCAUUUAGUAUUAGGUGAAAAAAAAAAAAAAAAGUAAAUUCCCACUUCAUUUAUUCUAGCAGCAUUUAGUUCUGCUGUUCCCCAGUCCUCUUCUGUGUAUGUUAACUGUGCUCGGAGAUAUGGUAAAAUAGGGGAAAUUGUAUGGGUCACCCAAGAAGUUAUUUAAAUACACUUGUUUUUAGGUUUGUUUUGUUGGAGUGCAAGGAGUAUGUACCAAUAGAUGGUGCUGGUGGUGCAUUAAUUAGGUUCAGUUUCACAUUUGUUUUCUGGUCUGUGGUUGGAAUUUGUUUAAAAAAAAAAAGAGAGAACAAAACGAAACCCGAAAAAAAAAAAAAAAAGAAAAAAGAACAAAACAACAAAAUCCCCAACGCUAAGUUUUUAUCCGAAAUGUUCUCCCUGCACUGAACCGGUCACCGUUUAACUUUAACCUGAACUGUGGCCCAGGAAAUCCUUCAACAUAAAUAACCUUGGAAGCUGCCAUGACCAUUUUUGGAACGUGCUCCCUCAAUAAAUCUGUUACUUUGUUGUGCAA